GGCAUUUCUACUACAUACUUAUUACAUAUGUUAUACUAAUAUGUACUCUUCUAAUGUUGCAAGAUGCUACAAGAUGCUAGUCUUCGAUAGGGUAGGUCUUCCCUUCUAUUUUGGCAUUUCUGCAGUAUGGUCCACAAAUACAGCCCCUUCCCCUUGAUAAUGAUGCAUAUUUAGCAUAGACCUAAUGUACGUCUUGUGAGUACUUUGGUUGAGUACUCACAAUUGCUUUGCUCCCCUUUCCCCCUUGAGACGAUUGUUGCCAUCAAAUGACGGAGCCCAGGAGCCAGCUGAUCCCN
rnacentral:lncRNA from 1 species